UACAGAGGUCUCAAGCGUUGUUCGGAUUCAUUGGGCGUAAAGGGUGCGUAGGCGGCGCGGUAAGUCGGGUGUGAAAUCUCGGAGCUUAACUCCGAAACUGCAUUCGAUACUGCCGUGCUUUGAGGACUGGAGAGGAGACUGGAAUUUACGGUGUAGCGGUGAAAUGCGUAGAUAUCGUAAGGAAGACCAGUGGCGAAGGCGGGUCUCUGGACCUGUACUGACGCUCAUGCACGAAAGGCGUGGGGAGCAAACAGG
rnacentral:rRNA from 1 species